AUUGAACGCUGGCGGCAGGCUUAACACAUGCAAGUCGAGCGGAGCGAGGGUGCUUGCACCUUAGCUUAGCGGCGGACGGGUGAGUAAUGCUUAGGAAUCUGCCUAUUAGUGGGGGACAACAUUCCGAAAGGAAUGCUAAUACCGCAUACGCCCUACGGGGGAAAGCAGGGGAUCUUCGGACCUUGCGCUAAUAGAUGAGUCUCAGUCGGAUUAGCUAGUUGGUGGGGUAAAGGCCUACCAAGGCGACGAUCUGUAGCGGGUCUGGGAGGAUGGUCCGCCACACUGGGACUGAGACACGGCCCAGACUCCUGCGGGAGGCAGCAGUGGGGAAUAUUGGACAAUGGGCGGAAGCCUGAUCCAGCCAUGCCGCGUGUGUGAAGAAGGCCUUUUGGUUGUAAAGCACUUUAAGCGAGGAGGAGGCUACUUAGAUUAAUACUCUGGGAUAGUGGACGUUACUCGCAGAAUAAGCACCGGCUAACUCUGUGCCAGCCGCCGCCGUAA
rnacentral:rRNA from 1 species